rnacentral:misc_RNA from 1 species
GAAAGAAAAAAAAACACCAUGAAUCAUUUCUUCGCCGUAAACAGUUGCACUGGAUCUGUAUACCGUACCGAGCAAUAAUCGUCCAACCUGACGUCAGUUCAGAAAAUUGUCGGCACAGUUAGCCACGAUCCAACCAUUUGCCAGGGUGGACCUCAGUAGCAAAUCAACGUCAGCCCGGGGUUGGGCCUUCAUCAAACUCCAGUGCCGACUACAGAACUACAGAACACGACUCGCUGUCUGAUUCAGCUGGACACAGCUAUUUCUGGCAAAGUAGAUGAUGUGUCUGUGGGGAUGAAUGACGUCAAACCGUACCUCAACUAUAGGAGUCCGUCGGUGAGCUUGCCGAGCUUGAAAACAUGACAAAGAUGCCAGAGGUAUGGACGACGCUCCAGAUGAUUUCUUGGCAGCAGCAAAGCCCGAUUAUCGGCGUGGGUGGAGCAAAACCGGACCUUCAUGGCGGAAACAUGGGAAGACAGCGCCCGAACUUACAGGCCACACUCACUGGAGCAACACAUUCUCAAGAAUGAACAGACUUCACGCCAGCGCAGAUCUUCCAGUUAUUUUUCUCGCAAGUGGUGUGGGAGCUACUGGUCACUGAAACCAACCGCUAUGCUGAGCAGAAUAUGACACAGAAGUCAUCACCGGGCCACCCAAGUCGUUGGUCUCCAACAACUAUUCCAGUCUAAAAUGAUGGCCUUUGUAGCACUACUGGGUGUGUACGGGUAUCAACAAGCGGCCUCACUACAUGUACUGGAGCAACUUGGACACUGUGCACAGUGCCAUCUAUCUGGCAACCACGUCUCGCAACAGAUUUAUGGCAAUUCUCAAAUUCAUCCAUCUGACCAACAACCAAGUAGCUUUAAAUACGGACACUACUCCUGACAAGCUGACAAAAGUCCGCCAAUUUGUUCAGAAAAUAAUACCCUCGUUUUUUUGUAAUUACAGACCCAGCCAAAACCUUGCCACUGACGAGACCAUGAUCAAAUUCAAGGGAAGACUAUCAUUCAAACAGUAUAUGCCAAGAAAGCCAACCCAAUGGGGAAUCAAGUGUUUCUCCUUGAACGAAUCUGAAAUGGAGUUCACAUGGGCCUGGACAGUGUACACAGGGUCACAAACACAAACAUCAAGUGUCGACUCGAAGAUAGACAAUGUUGCUGAUUCCACUGUAGUACCUCGACCAGUUCAAGUUGUUUGAAACUUGUCGAUCGAUUUGGAAAUCAGGGACAGUGCACCUUUGCUGAUAAUUGGUACACCAGGCCUGCUCUUACUGUUAACCCAGCUGGGCUUUAGCUUUUGUGGAACUGUUUGAUACAAGACUUAAGGAAUUCCUCAUUUUGCAAACCCCCAAGACUGUCCUAUGGCUAAAGGAGAUAAACACUGCUUUUAUGAAAAGUCAGGACAACAAAAAAGCGUGACACACUUGACAAACUAACUAUGAUAACUGUAGUAUAACUAAUAAGCAGAUUCGGCGUACAAACUCUCCCACAGGUUAUCGUGACAUCAUCAAACCAAACACUGUCACUGAGUACAACAAGCAUGUGGGAGCCUGAGGAACCGAUGCUGCAUCACAACAGUGCGUGUACUAUGCACAUGCUAACAGUCUCGGUGAAGUGGCGGAAACGAGUAUUAAAACUUUGCUCUUCUAGACAUGAGUUCAAAAUGCAAGAGCGUAUAAUAGUCUUAACACCAACUUUAGACUGUCAAAUCUUGAUUUUCAACUCUAUCUGAUCCAAGGCCUGCUGUCAAUGGGAAGAGUUGAGGUGCCGGUCAUGUGCACAAGAGUAUCCCCUGUAUGUGAGAAGAUGUACAACAUAUUCCAGGCAAAACUAGGCAAAAGCGCCACUUUGUUGUUUGCAGUACUCGGAGACGGCAAAUCUGCAUGAUUUAUAAGACGUGCCCAACCAAUGUGUGUCAUUGGAUGCUGAAAUUUCACUCCUAAGAUUCCUUAAAUCUGUCAAAAGUUUGCCGAUUUGUGUUGGUUUUUAUUUUAUUUAUUUAUCUAUUUAUUUUGUUAGUUUUUUUAAACUGUUUUUAGUUGACUAAAAUUCCCAAUUACCCCCCCCCCUUAAAAAGCUGUGGUAGAAACGAGCCAGCACGGUGCAGAGUUUCUCCCAACAUUGGGGGGAAGGAGGGGACUUGGCAUUCUCUCCAAUCCACGUAGACCUCUUUUGUCAUUUUGGAGUUGCACACUUAAUUUUUCGGCUAGCGCUAACUAAUAAGAAUAUUCGUUUUGUGAAAUUCACUUGUGAAAACAUUAAAGGCGGACUAAGUGACUAA